rnacentral:rRNA from 1 species
UACGUAGGGAGCAAGCGUUGUUCGGAUUUACUGGGCGUAAAGGGCGCGUAGGCGGCGCGGUAAGUCACUUGUGAAAUCUCUGAGCUUAACUCAGAACGGCCAAGUGAUACUGCAGUGCUAGAGUGCAGAAGGGGCAAUCGGAAUUCUUGGUGUAGCGGUGAAAUGCGUAGAUAUCAAGAGGAACACCUGAGGUGAAGACGGGUUGCUGGGCUGACACUGAGAGACGAAAGCUGGGGGAGCAAAUAGG